rnacentral:rRNA from 1 species
UACGUAGGGGGCGAGCGUUGUCCGGAAUUAUUGGGCGUAAAGAGCGUGUAGGCUGUUCGGUAAGUCUGCCGUGAAAACCUGAGGCUCAACCUCGGGCGUGCGGUGGAUACUGCCGGGCUAGAGGACGGUAGAGGCGAGUGGAAUUCCCGGUGUAGCGGUGGAAUGCGUAGAGAUCGGGAAGAACAUCAGUGGCGAAGGCGGCCUGCUGGGCCAUAACUGACACUCAGGGACGAAAGCUAGGGGAGCGAAUGGG